rnacentral:piRNA from 1 species
UCUGGAGGAAAAGGCAAGGGACA